rnacentral:rRNA from 1 species
AUUGAACGCUGGCGGCAGGCCUAACACAUGCAAGUCGAGCGAGCGGCGGACGGGUGAGUAAUGUAUGGGGACUGCCCGAUAGAGGGGGAUAACUACUGGAAACGGUAGCUAAUACCGCAUACUAUCGGAUAACCCAUAUGGGAUUAGCUAGUAGGGGAGGUAAUGGCUAACCUAGGCGACGAUCCCUAGCUGGUCUGAGAGGAUGAUCAGCAACAGUGGGACUGAGAACGGGCCCAGACCCCAACGGGGGCAGCGGUGGGAAAUAUUGCACAAGGGGGGCAAGUCUGAUGCAGCAAUGCCGGGUGUAUGAAGAAGGCCCUGGGGUGGUAAAGUACUUUCAGUCGGGAGGCGUUACCGACAGAAGAAGCACCGGCUAACUCCGUGCAAGCAGCCGCGGUAUAC